CCCUGAUGGCGCAGUAAAUAAAUAUUUUCUGUCGCCACCAGAUGCUUUCUUAGCAGUUUUGCUUCAAACCCACGCCAGUGUUAUUUAUUCUAUAAUUCCUAUUAAUCGUGUCCAAGUGCAUAGAAAUAUAUCGUGAAAAUAACAGUGUUUUAUCAAAUUGUGCUACGAAUUUCAUUAAAACUCAUAUUUAAUACUGUCCCGAAUUCGGAGCAAUAUUGUUUAUCUUGAUUUUAGUUCCGGACAGCCGAAUGAUAAUAACCAGAACAAAGAAUCAGUGAUAAUAAUAAAACAACGAUAUUUGAAGAUAGAUGUGCCGUACAAAUCUUCGUAUCGCGCAGCAGUUCUUCGGUUCCAUGCAAGAGAAAAACCGCAUGCAGUAAGAACGUCGUCCUGUCGAACCAUGAGGACAAUAUAACCAACAUGGGCUCGAAACUGUCCAGAAAAUGAAUCAAAAUAUCGUUGCAGUUUUAUGAGUUCUGGCAGUGUUUCGAGUAAAAUUAUUGGAAAUCUUAAUUUUUUUUCUCGAUUCUAGAAGGUUUGCUUUAGUAAAAUGAGUUAUGCUGGAGUAUGACGAAUUAAAUAUUAAUUAAUGAGAAAUUAGUACAUGCCAAAAAUGCCUUAAGUGUCCGUAUUUCGAUGCAGUACGGUACAAUUGUGCUCCUUCCAAUUAGCCAAGAAACUAUGCCCAAGAGUGUGCAGUUGACCACUUGAACGCCUUGUUUUUGAGAAAGUAUGGGACAAUAUAGCAAUAAUAGCAAUUUGAUAAAGCCCAUUUGACCAUCAAAAGCCGAUAUACUAGACCUUUUUGAAGUGUGAAACAGACAAAAAAUCACUAAGACCGAGGCGAAAAACAGAAUAUUCCCUGGGAUAUGAUAGUUUCAAGGAGAAAAUGCCUUACAAAGAAAAAUGUAAAGUCUGCUCCCGAGCUACACGGUUUCUGCGUUCCCGAGGAAUCCGCGUAACUCAAAUAUCAGCUACUAUCUGUCAAAUUUAGAACACCGUGUACCUCCGAAUCCGCGUAAGUCGAGAACCGCGUAACUCGGGAACAGACUGUAUUUUACCUUAGGAUUCAUAUUUGAGAUUAUAUGCUUGCCAGAUCGAAGAUUAAAAAUACUUAAGUCGGUGUAAAUUGAAGGCGAAUAAUUACGAAAAAAGACAUGAGAUUAAAAAAACAAAAUUGUGGGCUGUUCUAAUUCAUGAAAUUACUACUACUUUAAUGUUGCAGCGUCAGCGUCAUCUCGAGAUAAUUAAAACCAAAAUUUUGAAAAAAAAUAUAAAGAAUUAUAAAUCAGGUACAGGUGUCCC